AAGAAUAACAAGUAUGACGCUCUUGAGGAUCAUAUAACACAUUCACGUUGGCCAUGACAAGUUGGUAUCUGACAUGAUAAUCUCGUCUGGGAAAAUACGAGCUCAUUUGUAGCCUCGUCUUGGAAAAUACGACUUCAUUUGUGAGACAAACACGUCUACUUGAAUAACAACGUCGACGUUCUCAUUCUGCUGGUGAACAUCAGACGAAAUCUCCGGAGAACACAGCCAGAAUGAUGAAGAGGUACGUGCUGUCUGUUGCCUUGACUCUGUGUGUCAUUGGUGACUUCAUUCCGGGUAUCGGAAGAAAUAGAGUGAUGGCGGUUAUUCCGAAGCAAGGUAUUUCAGACAUCUCAGUCACAGACCUAAUAGCAGGAAAACUUUCCCCUGCCUAUUUAUCCAUGUUGUGUUCGUUCUGUCGCGGACAAGGAAAUCAGCCAUGCACCGAUCGAUUGUGUUCCAGGCUAACCGAGCCUCAAAGAACUCUCGCUAAAGUGGGUGAGUGAGUGAGUGACAGAGUAGGUUUUAUGCCAUAGGUAACAAUUUUCCAGCAAUAUAACACACGUGUAGGGGGGGCUUAUUCACGGUACCGCCCUCCUCGUUAUUUCCAGGAUAGUACGUGAAGCGUAGAACCACAAUCACACACUUGUUCACUCAGUCACUUCAAGACAAAGGAACUUAUGUCAAUGUCAAUGUAAUCCAGAUGAACUUAUGUCAAUGUCAAUGUAAUCCAGAUGAACUUAUGUCAAUGUCAAUGUAAUCAUGAUGAACUUAUGUCAAUGUCAAUGUAACCAAGAUGAACUUAUGUCAAUGUCAAUGUAAUCCAGAUGAACUUAUGUCAAUGUCAAUGUAAUCCAGAUGAACUUAUGUCAAUGUCAAUGUAAUCUAGAUGAACUUAUGUCAAUGUCAAUGUAAUCCAGAUGAACUUAUGUCAAUGUCAAUGUAAUCUAGAUGAACUUAUGUCAAUGUCAAUGUAAUCCAGAUGAACUUAUGUCAAUGUCAAUGUAAUCCAGAUGAACUUGUGUCAAUGUCAAUGUAAUCCAGAUCAUACAAAGUAGUAACUUAUUCUCUAUGACGAACUUCUGUGUUAUUCUGCACAAUGAAAGAACAUUAUGAAAGUUGACAUACAGGUUCCAUACAAAUGCAAAUGCUGAUAAUACCGCAAAUUAUGACAGCAAAUAAAGAUUUUUUUGUAAUUCAAA